rnacentral:rRNA from 1 species
UUAUAGGUCAUCAGAGAAACUAAAUAGGAUUCUCUUAGUAAUGGCGAAUGAACUGGGAUGAGCUCACCAUGGGAAUCGGGGUCUUCGACCUUGAAUUGUAGUCUUGAGACGCACCGCCAACAGAGGCGCAGGUGUAAGCCUCUUGGAAGAGAGCAUCGCGGAGGGUGAGAGUCCCGUCUGUCACCUGCAGUCCCCUGUGUACGGCAUGCGUUCUGAGAGUCACGUUCCUCGGGAUUGGAGCGCAAAUUGGGUGGUAAGUUUCACCUUAAGCUAAAUAUUGGUCCGAGACCGAUAGCAAACAAGUACCAUGAGGGAAAGGUGAAAAGGACUUUGAAAAGAGAGUUAAAAGUGCUUGAAAUUGCUGAAAGGGAAGCGAAUGGAACCAGUUCUGCUGGGCGAGAUUGUCGCAUGCCAAGGCCUUGUGCCGGCCGCAUGCGGUGCUUCUUGCCUUGUGUGUCAGCUGCGGUCCGAAGUUGGGGAAAACUCUGGGGACAUGGAUGCCAACCUCCGGGGGGGUGAAUGUGCCUGGCAAGACCCGUCCUUGGACUGUGAGCAGUGCUUCGGCAUGUUUGCGGUGCUGACGAAAUGCUUCUAUUCGACCCGUCUUGAAACACGGACCGAGGAGUCUAACAUGUGUGCGAGCUCACGGGUGUCAAACCUGCUUGCGCAAUGAAAGUGACUGCUGGGAUACUUGCACCAGCAACCGAUCUGUCAACUGAGAGAGAUUUGAGUUUGAGCAUACCUGUUAGGACCCGAAAGAUGGUGAACUAUGCUUGUGUAGGGCAAAGCCAGGGGAAACUCUGGUGGAGGCUCGUAGCGAUACUGACGUGCAAAUCGUUCGUCAAACAUGAGUAUAGGGGCGAAAGACUAAUCGAACCAUCUAGUAGCUGGUUCCCUCCGAAGUUUCC